rnacentral:rRNA from 1 species
UACAGAGGGCUCAAGCGUUGUUCGGAUUCAUUGGGCGUAAAGGGUGCGUAGGUGGCGCCGUAAGUCAGGUGUGAAAUCUCGGGGCUCAACCCCGCAACUGCACUUGAUACUGCGGUGCUCGAGUACUGGAGAGGAGAUUGGAAUUUACGGUGUAGCAGUGAAAUGCGUAGAUAUCGUAAGGAAGACCAGUGGCGAAGGCGAAUCUCUGGACAGUUACUGACACUGAGGCACGAAGGCCAGGGGAGCAAACGGG